rfam:Microscilla marina ATCC 23134 1099589004152, whole genome shotgun sequence.
GCGGAUAUGGCGGAAUUGGUAGACGCACUAGACUUAGGAUCUAGCGCCGCAAGGCGUGGGGGUUCGACUCCCUCUAUCCGCA